rnacentral:rRNA from 1 species
CAGCCGCCGCGGUAAUACGUAGGGUGCGAGCGUUAAUCGGAAUUACUGGGCGUAAAGCGUGCGCAGGCGGUUGUGUAAGACAGGUGUGAAAUCCCCGGGCUUAACCUGGGAACUGCGCUUGUGACUGCACAGCUAGAGUAUGGCAGAGGGGGGUGGAAUUCCACGUGUAGCAGUGAAAUGCGUAGAGAUGUGGAGGAACACCGAUGGCGAAGGCAGCCCCCUGGGCCAAUACUGACGCUCAUGCACGAAAGCAUGGGGAGCAAACAGGAUUAGAUACCCGUGUAGUCCCUGUCUCUUAUAC